rnacentral:misc_RNA from 1 species
UUUUAUUAAAACGUAACUCUGUAAAAGCACUAAUGCAGAAGUUUUAGAGGUCAACAAAAUGGACGACCAGACCUUUCGGAGCCUCAGUUUUCUCGCGCCAAGGCCCCGCCGGUUAUCAAAGACAGGGUGCACUGGGACUCAAAUUAAAAUUUGCAUUGCAAAAAAAGCUACCACCUUUGCUCGAGGUUGCUUGGAAGUUUCUUCCUUGAAGUUUUGCCUAAUGCCGUGUGUACAUUACAAGAAAUGCUCCCAAACGUGUCUCAGACACAAACGUUUGCUGGUGGAACAAACUGGAGAGAAAUUCGCUCACUUAUUCAAGUGCCAGAAACAAAGCGACCUGAAGAUAGAAAGUGUUGUCUUUGAAGUUCCUCGGUAAAACAUGAAGCACAUGAACAUUAAGUGACAGGCGUGGAGUACUGAAAGGCCAAUGGUGAACGUCAGAGAAAGCUAUUAAAAAGACAAACAAAAAGCAAACAACAACCUAUAGGACAACUAAGAUCAAUGGAAGAGACAGAUCCAGCUAGAUCAGGGCAAGCAAGAAACAUCAUAGACACAACCAGUGGACGAAGUGAAAUAUAUCAGACAUGGCAGGAUUUCUCAGUGACCAGACGGUUGACGGAAGAUAAAGGCAAAGACAAGACACUGGAGGCAAUAUUAAGAAGACAGGACACUUGGGACAAGACAUAGUAUGCAAGGGAUAAAAGUAAGAUGAAUUGAGAGAUUUUUUCCAAGCCAAAAAUUAGGACGUGAAAAUAGGAUUCUUUUCCGUGGACUAAACGUUAGGAUCCUCACAAUUAAAUAGAAAAUGAAGGCUGUCUAUAAAAUGAUUUACAGUUAGGUUUUGUAGAAAAUGUGUCGUCAGCUUUGCGUUACAAAUUUUUAUCCAGUUUUAGUCUUUUCGUCUUUGUUCACGAUGCGAGAGCUUAGUGGAUUGUGUGGCUGACGCGUACGUGACUCUUGAGCAUCAGCACUGUUGCGUUACACUUGCGGCCGUUGAGAAUAUGUUUAUGAGGCUUUGUGCGGGAAUUUCAAAACACGGCAUUGUAACAGGAGAUUUAACUGUUAAUUUAGCAAGUAAAGAUCGUGAAGUGCCAUUUAAUAUUUUGUUGGCUUGUUUAGACAAACGGCAAGGCAGCUGGGUACCAAAAGAAACUUUCUUUUCUUUAUUUUCCGAGUUCGCAGUUAAAAUACUUCAACAUUUCCUGAAUUUGUAUAAUUCCCGUGCAAAACUUUAUUGACACAUUCUCAACGGCCAUUCGUGUAACGUAAUAACACUGUUGUUCAAUAGUCACGUACGUUUCUAUCAUAUGAUUCACCGAUUUCUCGUAUCAUGAGCUUCGAAAGUCUCUAAUUUCCCUUGCGAAGCAAAUUUUUAUAGUUAGCCUUCGUGUUUAGAAUCACAUCUUUCUGCUAGUUUUCUUUCACGGACCUAUUUCAAAAUGGAUUACCUUGAUUGUCCAAAAUCUCUCAACCAAAAGUGACUUUAAAAAGUUUUCUUGAAACCAGAAUGUCGCUGCUAAGUUUUUGUCGAGUUAUUUUAAACGUUUUCCAUCAAGUUAGUAUUGUACAAAAUCAAUUUCUCUUGUUAAUUAAAUGUUUCUAAAAAUUGUCUUGACUGCCUAAAUUUACUCUUAGGGUAACCCAUGUCAAAAUUUAAAAUUUUCCCGCCAAAAAACUUAGAAAAAAUACGGGCGCUUAAAAUACGCAUGCGCCAUUU